rnacentral:lncRNA from 1 species
AUGCAGAUCUUUGUGAAGACCCUCACAGGCAAGACCAUCACCCUCGAGGUCGAGCCCAGUGACACCACUGAGAAUGUCAAGGCCGAAAUUCAAGACAAGGAGGGCGUUCCACUUGACCAGCAAUGUCUGAUAUUUGUGGGCAAACAGCUGGAGGAUGGCCGUACUCUCUCAGACUGCAACAUCCAGAAAGAGUCCAUCCUGCACCUGGGGCUGCACCUGUGAGGUGGCAUUAUUGAGCCCUCUGCCAGCUUGCCCAGAAAUACAACUGCGACAAGAUGAUCUGCCGCAAGUGCUGUGCUUGCCUGCACCCCCGUGCUGUCAACUGCUGCAAGAAGUGAGGCCACACCAACAACCUGUGCCCCAAGAGGAAGAUCAAAUAA